CAUUAUGCCAGUAUCACAUUUUCUUACGACAACAUGGCUUUCUGGCCUUUGUGGGAGGGCUGGUGAGAUCCCUAACAGAAACAAAAGGAAGGAACAAAUAUCCUCUCUCCCUGUGCUUUGCUGCUCCAGUAACCUGGACUUGGCCAAUCAGAUGCUCCUGUCCAACACCGUGAGGUCAUCUGUGGAAAUAUCCAGCACUGAGUUCGUGAAGAAUGGGUAUUAAAUCUUUAGAUGUUCAGUGGAAUUCAUUCAUGAAGACAUCUGAGACUGCACUUUUCUUUCCCUGGCACCAGAGAGAUGAGAGGAGAAACCUGACAAUAUCCCCAGCCUGAGCCAUCACCAGACUCCAUCCUCCUGAGUGCCCCUGAACCAGCAUCACCGCUGAACACUCUGGAAGACCUACAGAAACUGAGAGAAGGUUCUGCAAAGAGCUGUAAGGAUGCACUGAAUAUUUGCCGUUGCGGAUGAGGCUGCUGGAGCAUUGGAGAUCCAUUCAUCAUGCCAAAGUGUAGCUCAGGGAGUCACCUCCAUGGAAAAUGUGUGCUUUCCAAACGUGGCUACCAGGUCGUUGUGGAAUUCCAUCCAGAAGCACCUUGUUCUUCCAUCGCCAUCAUUCUGGACAAGGCAGAAUCCACAUUCCCCAUAUUACUAACUUUAAAGCAGAAAUGUUACGCCUUUGCCUGUAAUUGAAAUUGUAGUCAUUUGAAAAUCAAAUAUUGCUAAAAUUUGAUGUUAGAGGGAUAGAUGAUCAAUAAUUGGGUUGAAAGAAUACUGUCUCUCAUUAAGCAAAAUGAAAAUGUUUUCAGAGAUUUGUGAAAUGUUUUGCUAUGAAGACUUUUCACUGCAAAGCACCCACUUUGUUUAAAGCAAUAAGGCAACGUGCUGGAUGAACGUAAAGAAGUUUUCAACACAGAACUUCACAAUAAAAAUGGUAAGAAAUGCACACAAACCAUGGAAAUCAAGUGCUGUAAGAGUGUGUUUUAUAAAAGUGGCUGAAGGAAAUGCUUUGGACAUUUCUAUUAAUUAUAGCCAAUGUUCAUGGAUCUGUAUGCUGAGUACACACCUAGGCAUUUGCAUUUCAUUAUUUCUUUGAACUCUUUCAAAAGCCCUGAGGUCUUUAUGAUUAUCUCCAUUUCACAAAUGAUGAUACAGAGGAACAGGGAAAGCAAGUGAU
rnacentral:lncRNA from 1 species